AUGAAGAAUACUAUGAUUACUGCCAUCUAAUUCCUCACGAGGAAGUAACAGGUAUAUACCCAGGAGAGGAAUCACUGGAUCAUAUGGUAUAUGAAUAUGUCUUCUCAAGUAGAUUUCUCAAUUUCUCUACAGAAAACAAUUUUUAGAAAUAAUAUCCACCAUUAUUGAGUACUUACUACA